UUAGUCUUUUAUUAAUUUUUCUAAUCGGUUUUUGUGAUUGUUGUUUCUGUUCUUAAAAAGUUUUCAAUUUUACAUCAAAACCGCGAAGGAUGUUGUUUAGUUCAUGAGCACUGAUUCAUUUCUGUUGCCCUUCGAUCUUGAAACUAAAAGAACCUUUCGUCAGUUGAGAAGAGAACAGAAACUUAGAAACUGAAAAAAAAAAAGAGAAAAAAAGUAGAGAGAUACUUUUAUUCUUUCAUCCAACAAAAAGUGCUUGAGAUGGAUUCCUUUUCACCUUGGAAUGUUCCAGUUCCAUCGAUGUUUCAAAUGCAGCAUAAUCAAGCAAUGAGAAGUCAAAAACAAAAUCAUUGGAAUUCAAGCCCUUAUCUGAACACCUUCAACCAAGGUUGGGGUGAUCAUUCAAAUUUCUCGUGGGGAAGACAAAUAUGAUGAAAAUUAUUCUCAUCCUACCCAGAAAUAUGAGCAAACAUUCCCACAAGAGUUCCCGAAACAGCCUUAGCAAGACUACGAUCAACAAUGGAUGCCAGUACAAGUGCAAACGUCGCAAAGUUGCAACCUUGAAGAGAUGAUGACGAAAUUUAUGGCAAGAAAUGAUGCAGCAAUAUGCAACCUACAUAUCCAAAUGAGGCAGUUGGCCGAUGAGUGGAGGAACAUUACAUAAGGAGCAUUGCCGACUAAUGUGGAAUCCCCAAUGCGAGAAGAGGAGCAAAGUGAGGUAGCGAACCUAGGGAGCAAGCUACUUUAUGAAGAACCUGAGCUCCAAGUGGAAAAUGAUGAUCCAAAAUAUCUGAUAUUACUAACGAGGUAGAAAA